CAGCGCCUCCUGCUCUGCCCACUCGACCGCCACGUGGAAGCCGGGUGAGGGCCUCGGAGCGGUGC
rnacentral:pre_miRNA from 1 species